rnacentral:rRNA from 1 species
GACGAACGCUGGCGGCGUGCCUAAUACAUGCAAGUCGAGCGGAUUUGACCAGAGCUUGCUCUGGUCAAGUUAGCGGCGGACGGGUGAGUAACACGUGGGCAACCUGCCCCGCAGAUUGGGAUAACUCCGGGAAACCGGGGCUAAUACCGAAUAAUAUAGAGGAUUUCAUGAUCUUCUUUUGAAAGGCGGCUUCGGCUGUCACUGCAGGAUGGGCCCGCGGCGCAUUAGCUAGUUGGUGAGGUAACGGCUCACCAAGGCGACGAUGCGUAGCCGACCUGAGAGGGUGAUCGGCCACACGGGGACUGAGACACGGCCCAGACGCCUACGGGAGGCAGCAGUAGGGAAUCUUCCGAAAUGGACGAAAGUGUGACGGAGCAACGCCGCGUGAGUGAAGAAGGUUUUCGGAUCGUAAAACUCUGUUGUCAGGGAAGAACAAGUAUGGGAGUAACUGCCCGUACCUUAACGGUACCUGGCCAGAAAGCCACGGCUAACUACGUGCCAGCCGCCGCAGUAA